rnacentral:rRNA from 1 species
GACGAACGCUGGCGGCGUGCUUAACACAUGCAAGUCGAACGGUAAGGCCCUUCGGGGUACACGAGUGGCGAACGGGUGAGUAACACGUGGGUGAUCUGCCCUGCGCUUCGGGAUAAGCCUGGGAAACUGGGUCUAAUACCGGAUAGGACCACUGCCUGCAUGGGUGGUGGUGGAAAGCUUUUGCGGUGUGGGAUGGGCCCGCGGCCUAUCAGCUUGUUGGUGGGGUAAUGGCCUACCAAGGCGACGACGGGUAGCCGGCCUGAGAGGGUGACCGGUCACACUGGGACUGAGAUACGGCCCAGACUCCUACGGGAGGCAGCAGUGGGGAAGAUUGCACAAUGGGCGCAAGCCUGAUGCAGCGACGCCGCGUGAGGGAUGACGGCCUUCGGGUUGUAAACCUCUUUCAGCUAUGACGAAGCGCAAGUGACGGUAGUAGCAGAAGAAGGACCGGCCAACUACGUGCCAGCAGCCGCCGUAA